rnacentral:rRNA from 1 species
GGUUAAGCGACUAAGCGUACACGGUGGAUGCCCUGGCAGUCAGAGGCGAUGAAGGACGUGCUAAUCUGCGAUAAGCGUCGGUAAGGUGAUAUGAACCGUUAUAACCGGCGAUUUCCGAAUGGGGAAACCCAGUGUGUUUCGACACACUAUCAUUAACUGAAUCCAUAGGUUAAUGAGGCGAACCGGGGGAACUGAAACAUCUAAGUACCCCGAGGAAAAGAAAUCAACCGAGAUUCCCCCAGUAGCGGCGAGCGAACGGGGAGCAGCCCAGAGCCUGAAUCAGUGUGUGUGUUAGUGGAAGCGUCUGGAAAGGCGCGCGAUACAGGGUGACAGCCCCGUACACAAAAAUGCACAUGCUGUGAGCUCGAUGAGUAGGGCGGGACACGUGGUAUCCUGUCUGAAUAUGGGGGGACCAUCCUCCAAGGCUAAAUACUCCUGACUGACCGAUAGUGAACCAGUACCGUGAGGGAAAGGCGAAAAGAACCCCGGCGAGGGGAGUGAAAAAGAACCUGAAACCGUGUACGUACAAGCAGUGGGAGCACGCUUAGGCGUGUGACUGCGUACCUUUUGUAUAAUGGGUCAGCGACUUAUAUUCUGUAGCAAGGUUAACCGAAUAGGGGAGCCGAAGGGAAACCGAGUCUUAACUGGGCGUUAAGUUGCAGGGUAUAGACCCGAAACCCGGUGAUCUAGCCAUGGGCAGGUUGAAGGUUGGGUAACACUAACUGGAGGACCGAACCGACUAAUGUUGAAAAAUUAGCGGAUGACUUGUGGCUGGGGGUGAAAGGCCAAUCAAACCGGGAGAUAGCUGGUUCUCCCCGAAAGCUAUUUAGGUAGCGCCUCGUGAAUUCAUCUCCGGGGGUAGAGCACUGUUUCGGCAAGGGGGUCAUCCCGACUUACCAACCCGAUGCAAACUGCGAAUACCGGAGAAUGUUAUCACGGGAGACACACGGCGGGUGCUAACGUCCGUCGUGAAGAGGGAAACAACCCAGACCGCCAGCUAAGGUCCCAAAGUCAUGGUUAAGUGGGAAACGAUGUGGGAAGGCCCAGACAGCCAGGAUGUUGGCUUAGAAGCAGCCAUCAUUUAAAGAAAGCGUAAUAGCUCACUGGUCGAGUCGGCCUGCGCGGAAGAUGUAACGGGGCUAAACCAUGCACCGAAGCUGCGGCAGCGACACUAUGUGUUGUUGGGUAGGGGAGCGUUCUGUAAGCCUGUGAAGGUGUGCUGUGAGGCAUGCUGGAGGUAUCAGAAGUGCGAAUGCUGACAUAAGUAACGAUAAAGCGGGUGAAAAGCCCGCUCGCCGGAAGACCAAGGGUUCCUGUCCAACGUUAAUCGGGGCAGGGUGAGUCGACCCCUAAGGCGAGGCCGAAAGGCGUAGUCGAUGGGAAACAGGUUAAUAUUCCUGUACUUGGUGUUACUGCGAAGGGGGGACGGAGAAGGCUAUGUUGGCCGGGCGACGGUUGUCCCGGUUUAAGCGUGUAGGCUGGUUUUCCAGGCAAAUCCGGAAAAUCAAGGCUGAGGCGUGAUGACGAGGCACUACGGUGCUGAAGCAACAAAUGCCCUGCUUCCAGGAAAAGCCUCUAAGCAUCAGGUAACAUCAAAUCGUACCCCAAACCGACACAGGUGGUCAGGUAGAGAAUACCAAGGCGCUUGAGAGAACUCGGGUGAAGGAACUAGGCAAAAUGGUGCCGUAACUUCGGGAGAAGGCACGCUGAUAUGUAGGUGAAGUCCCUCGCGGAUGGAGCUGAAAUCAGUCGAAGAUACCAGCUGGCUGCAACUGUUUAUUAAAAACACAGCACUGUGCAAACACGAAAGUGGACGUAUACGGUGUGACGCCUGCCCGGUGCCGGAAGGUUAAUUGAUGGGGUUAGCCGCAAGGCGAAGCUCUUGAUCGAAGCCCCGGUAAACGGCGGCCGUAACUAUAACGGUCCUAAGGUAGCGAAAUUCCUUGUCGGGUAAGUUCCGACCUGCACGAAUGGCGUAAUGAUGGCCAGGCUGUCUCCAUCCGAGACUCAGUGAAAUUGAACUCGCUGUGAAGAUGCAGUGUACCCGCGGCAAGACGGAAAGACCCCGUGAACCUUUACUAUAGCUUGACACUGAACAUUGAGCCUUGAUGUGUAGGAUAGGUGGGAGGCUUAGAAGUGUGGACGCCAGUCUGCAUGGAGCCGACCUUGAAAUACCACCCUUUAAUGUUUGAUGUUCUAACGUUGACCCGUAAUCCGGGUUGCGGACAGUGUCUGGUGGGUAGUUUGACUGGGGCGGUCUCCUCCUAAAGAGUAACGGAGGAGCACGAAGGUUGGCUAAUCCUGGUCGGACAUCAGGAGGUUAGUGCAAUGGCAUAAGCCAGCUUGACUGCGAGCGUGACGGCGCGAGCAGGUGCGAAAGCAGGUCAUAGUGAUCCGGUGGUUCUGAAUGGAAGGGCCAUCGCUCAACGGAUAAAAGGUACUCCGGGGAUAACAGGCUGAUACCGCCCAAGAGUUCAUAUCGACGGCGGUGUUUGGCACCUCGAUGUCGGCUCAUCACAUCCUGGGGCUGAAGUAGGUCCCAAGGGUAUGGCUGUUCGCCAUUUAAAGUGGUACGCGAGCUGGGUUUAGAACGUCGUGAGACAGUUCGGUCCCUAUCUGCCGUGGGCGCUGGAGAACUGAGGGGGGCUGCUCCUAGUACGAGAGGACCGGAGUGGACGCAUCACUGGUGUUCGGGUUGUCAUGCCAAUGGCACUGCCCGGUAGCUAAAUGCGGAAGAGAUAAGUGCUGAAAGCAUCUAAGCACGAAACUUGCCCCGAGAUGAGUUCUCCCUGACUCCUUGAGAGUCCUGAAGGAACGUUGAAGACGACGACGUUGAUAGGCCGGGUGUGUAAGCGCAGCGAUGCGUUGAGCUAACCGGUACUAAUGAACCGUGAGGCUUAACCUU